CAAACGGAAGCCCCCCAUGCAACAAGAGGGUAAAAACCCAAGAUGUAGACCACUCUGGUCCUAAUAUAAACAAAAGUACAAUUGCUGUAAAUAAGUUAUGUAACCUACAAUGUACCAAGCUACUAAACUCCAAUGUAACCACAACGUUUGCUACCCCACCCUUUUUCUUUAUUCUGUACCCCAACUUCUUUAAAAUACUGAAAACCAC